CAGGAUCUCAGCAGGUUUAGGUUGGUUCCUGCAGGAUCUCAGCAGGUUUAGGUUGGUUCCUGCAGGAUCUCAGCAGGUUCUGGGUGGUUCCUGCAGGAUCUCAAGGGGGUUUAGGUUGGUUCCUGCAGGAUCUCUGCAGGUUCCUGCAGGAUCUCAGCAGAUUCUGGGUGGUUCCUGCAGGAUCUCAGGGGGGUUCUGGGUGGUUCUUGAAGGAUCUCAGCAUGUUUAGGUUGGUUCCAGGAGGAUCUCAGGAGGUUUUGGGUGGUUCCUGCAGGAUCUCAGCAGGUUUAGGUUGGUUCCUACAGGAUCUCAGCAGGUUCCUGCAGGAUCUCAGGGGGGUUUAGGUUGGUUCCUGCAGGAUCUCAGGGGGGUUUAGGUUGGUUCCUGCAGGAUCUCAGGAUGUUCUGGGUGGUUCCUGCAGGAUCUCAGGGGGGUUUAGGUUGGUUCCUGCAGGAUCUCAGCAGGUUCCUACAGGAUCUCAGCAGGUUCUGGGUGGUUCCUGCAGGAUCUCAGCAGGUUUAGGUUGGNAUUGGAGACUCCAUCGCCGACGCCAAGACCUACCAGGACAUCCAGAACACCAUCAAGAAGGCCAAGCAGGACGUGAUCGAGGUGGGGCUUGGGGAGGUUCCUGCAGGAUCUCAGGGGGGUUUUGGUUGGUUCCUGGAGGAUCUCAGGGGGUUCUGGGUGGUUCUUGGAGGAUCUCAGCAGGUUCUGGAUGGUUCUUGGAGGAUCUCAGCAGGUUCUGGAUGGUUCUUGGAGGAUCUCAGGUGGUUCCUGCAGGAUCUCAAGAGGUUUGAGGUGGUUCCUGGUGGAUCUCAGGGGGUUCCUGGAGGUUCCUGCAGUAUCUCAGGGGGUUCCUGCAGGAUCUCAGGGGUGUUGUGGUGGUUCCAGGUGGAUCUCAGAAGGUUUGAGGGGGUUCUUGGAGGAUCUCAGGAGGUUCUGGGUCUGUUGUCCCCAGGUGAUUGUGGUGGUGGGGCAGCAGAACGUGGAGGACAGUCAGGUCCCAGUGUCCACUGUCCAUAGGUGCAGGACAAUCAUGUCCCACUGUCCAUUGUCCCCUGUCCCCAGGUCAUCGCCGUGGUGGGGCAGCAGAACGUGGAGGGCAAGCGGAUCCCAUUGUCCAUAGGUGGAGGACAAUCAGGUCCCAUUGUCCAUUGUCCCCUGUCCCCAGGUCAUUGCGGUGGUGGGGCAGCAGAACGUGGAGGGCAAUCAGGUCCCAUUGUCCAUUGUCCAUAGGUGGAGGACAAUCAUGUCCCAUUGUGUCCCCUGUAGGUCAUCGCCGUGGUGGGGCAGCAGAACGUGGAGGACAAUCAUGUCCCAUUGUCCAUUGUCCAUAGGUCAUUGCAGUGGUGGGCCAGCAGAACGUGGAGGGCAGUCAGGUCCUAUUGUCCAUUGUCCAUAGGUGCAGGACAAUCAUGUCCCAUUGUCCAUUGUCCCCAGGUCAUCGCCGUGGUGGGGCAGCAGAACGUGGAGGACAAUCAGGUCCCACUGUCCCUUGUCCAUUGUCCCCAGGUCAUUGCCGUGGUGGGGCAGCAGAACGUGGAGGGCAAUGAUGUCCCAUUGUCCCCUGUAGGUCAUUGCGGUGGUGGGGCAGCAGAACGUGGAGGGCAAUCAGGUCCAUUGUCCAUAGAUGAUGGUGGUGGUGGACCAGCAGAAGGUGCAGGACAAUCAUGUCUCUCUGUCCCCUGUAGGUCAUUGCGGUGGUGGGGCAGCAGAACGUGGAGGGCAAUCAGGUCCCACUGUCCAUAGGUGCAGGACAAUCAGGUCCCAUUGUCCCCUGUAGGUGAUUGCGGUGGUGGGGCAGCAGAACGUGGAGGACAAUCAGGUCCCAGUGUCCACUGUCCAUAGGUGGAGGACAAUCAUGUCCCAUUGUCCCCUGUCCCCAGGUCAUCGCGGUGGUGGGGCAGCAGAACCUGGAGGACAAUCAGGUCCCACUGUCCAUUGUCCAUAGGUGCAGGACAAUCAUGUCCCACUGUCCAUUGUAGGUCAUUGCGGUGGUGGGGCAGCAGAACGUGGAGGACAAUCGUGUCCCACUGUCCCUUGUCCCCAGGUGAUGGCGGUGGUGGGGCAGCAGAACGUGGAGAACAAUCAGGUCCCAUUGUCCAUAGGUGCAGGACAAUCAGGUC
ensembl:lncRNA